rnacentral:rRNA from 1 species
AAGCCUUCGGGCUUAGUGGCGGACGGGUGAGUAACGCGUGGGAACAUACCCAAAGGUACGGAAUAGCCUCGGGAAACUGGGAGUAAUACCGUAUGUGCCCUUCGGGGGAAAGAUUUAUCGCCUUUGGAUUGGCCCGCGUUGGAUUAGGUAGUUGGUGGGGUAAUGGCCUACCAAGCCGACGAUCCAUAGCUGGUUUGAGAGGAUGAUCAGCCACACUGGGACUGAGACGCGGCCCAGACUCCUACGGGAGGCAGCAGUGGGGAAUCUUAGACAAUGGGGGCAACCCUGAUCUAGCCAUGCCGCGUGAUCGAUGAAGGCCUUAGGGUUGUAAAGAUCUUUCAGUUGGGAAGAUAAUGACUGUACCAACAGAAGAAGCCCCGGCUAACUCCGUGCCAGCAGCCGCGGUAAUACGGAGGGGGCUAGCGUUAUUCGGAAUUACUGGGCGUAAAGCGCACGUAGGCGGACUGGAAAGUCAGAGGUGAAAUCCCAGGGCUCAACCUUGGAACUGCCUUUGAAACUCCCAGUCUUGAGGUCGAGAGAGGUGAGUGGAAUUCCGAGUGUAGAGGUGAAAUUCGUAGAUAUUCGGAGGAACACCAGUGGCGAAGGCGGCUCACUGGCUCGAUACUGACGCUGAGGUGCGAAAGCGUGGGGAGCAAACAGGGUUAGAUACCCUGGUAGUCCACGCCGUAAACGAUGAAUG